rnacentral:rRNA from 1 species
ACUCAAAGGAAUAGACGGGGGCCCGCACAAGCGGUGGAGCAUGUGGUUCAAUUCGAAGCAACGCGCAGAACCUUACCGGCCCUUGACAUGUCCCGUUUGGAUUUCAGAGAUGAGAUCCUUCAGUUCGGCUGGCGGGAACACAGGUGCUGCAUGGCUGUCGUCAGCUCGUGUCGUGAGAUGUUGGGUUAAGUCCCGCAACGAGCGCAACCCUCGCCCCUAGUUGCCAGCAUUCAGUUGGGCACUCUAGGGGGACUGCCGGUGAUAAGCCGCGAGGAAGGUGGGGAUGACGUCAAGUCCUCAUGGCCCUUACGGGCCGGGCUACACACGUGCUACAAUGGCGGUGACAAUGGGCAGCUACUCAGCAAUGGGAAGCGAAUCUCAAAAAGCCGUCUCAGUUCGGAUUGGGGUCUGCAACUCGACCCCAUGAAGUUGGAAUCGCUAGUAAUCGUGGAUCAGAACGCCACGGUGAAUACGUUCCCGGGCCUUGUACACACCGCCCGU